CAGUCGCCACGGUAAUACGUAGGGUGCAAGCGUUAAUCGGAAUUACUGGGCGUAAAGCGUGCGCAGGCGGUUAUAUAAGACAGAUGUGAAAUCCCCGGGCUCAACCUGGGAACUGCAUUUGUGACUGUAUAGCUAGAGUACGGCAGAGGGGGAUGGAAUUCCGCGUGUAGCAGUGAAAUGCGUAGAUAUGCGGAGGAACACCGAUGGCGAAGGCAAUCCCCUGGGCCUGUACUAACGCUCAUGCACGAAAGCGUGGGGAGCAAACAGGAUUAGAUACCCGAGUAGUCCCUGUCUCUUAUAC
rnacentral:rRNA from 1 species